rfam:Camelus ferus unplaced genomic scaffold scaffold2280, whole genome shotgun sequence.
UGAAAGGUGUUUUUGAAAACCACAAAUAUAUAAAAUCACAUACUUU